GACGAACGCUGGCGGCGUGCUUAACCCAUGCAAGUCGAGCGGAGCGGCGAACGGGGGAGUAACGCGUGAGUAACUGCCCCCCUCUCUGGGAUAACAGUUGGAAACGGCAGCUAAUACCAGAUAGAGGGGGAUGACUCGCGUCCUAUCAGCUUGUUGCUGGGGUAGUGGACUACCAAGGCGACGACGGGUAGCCGGCCUGAGAGGGCGACCGGCCACAUUGGGCUGCUAUACGGUCCAAACUCCUACGGGAGGCAGCAGUGGGGAAUAGUGCCCAAUGGGGGCAACCCUGAUGCAGCAACCCGCGGGCGGGAUGACGGCCUUCGGGUUGUAAACCGCGUUCAGCCAUGACGCGGUAGUGGCAGAAGAAGCACCGGCUAACUACGGGCCAGCAGCCGCGGUAAUUC
rnacentral:rRNA from 1 species